AUUGAACGCUGGCGGCAGGCCUAACACAUGCAAGUCGAACGGUAACAGGAAGCAGCUUGCUGCUUCGCUGACGAGUGGCGGACGGGUGAGUAAUGUCUGGGAAACUGCCUGAUGGAGGGGGAUAACUACUGGAAACGGUAGCUAAUACCGCAUAACGUCGCAAGACCAAAGAGGGGGACCUUCGGGCCUCUUGCCAUCGGAUGUGCCCAGAUGGGAUUAGCUAGUAGGUGGGGUAACGGCUCACCUAGGCGACGAUCCCUAGCUGGUCUGAGAGGAUGACCAGCCACACUGGAACUGAGACACGGUCCAGACUCCUACGGGAGGCAGCAGUGGGGAAUAUUGCACAAUGGGCGCAAGCCUGAUGCAGCCAUGCCGCGUGUAUGAAGAAGGCCUUCGGGUUGUAAAGUACUUUCAGCGGGGAGGAAGGCGACAGGGUUAAUAACCCUGUCGAUUGACGUUACCCGCAGAAGAAGCACCGGCUAACUCCGUGCCAGCAGCCGCGGUAAUACGGAGGGUGCAAGCGUUAAUCGGAAUUACUGGGCGUAAAGCGCACGCAGGCGGUCUGUCAAGUCGGAUGUGAAAUCCCCGGGCUCAACCUGGGAACUGCAUUCGAAACUGGCAGGCUAGAGUCUUGU
rnacentral:rRNA from 1 species